ACCUCCCAAGAUGCCUCCAAACAAGCUCCAAAUCUUCUAGGGUUGAAGAUUGGUCCACCACCAAGCUCUACAAGCAAGCUCCAAGCCAAGCAAGGGUGGAAAGGAGAGAAAGGGGGGUUGAGCUCCAAGCUCCCUCAAGCAAGCUCCUCUUCUUCUUCUCCUCCUUCUCCUUCUUCUCUCUCUAGAAGGUGUAGGGAGAAGGUGAGAAAUGAGGAGGGAAGAGAGUGAAAUGGCCUUAUAGACCAUUUAGAGCAACAAAAUCCAGAGAGGCCCCU
rnacentral:lncRNA from 1 species